UACGUAGGGGGCAAGCGUUGUCCGGAAUCAUUGGGCGUAAAGAGCGUGUAGGCGGUUCAGUAAGUCUGCUGUGAAAGUCCAGGGCUCAACCCUGGGAUGCCGGUGGAUACUGCUGGGCUAGAGUACGGAAGAGGCGAGUGGAAUUCCCGGUGGUAGCGGUGUAAAUGCGCAGAUAAUCGGGAGGAACACCAAUUGCGAAGGCGAGCUCGCUGGG
rnacentral:rRNA from 1 species